AACGAACGCUGGCGGCAGGCCUAACACAUGCAAGUCGAACGCUCCAGCAAUGGAGAGUGGCAGACGGGUGAGUAACGCGUGGGAACCUACCCUUUGGUUCGGAAUAGCCCAGGGAAACUUGGGGUAAUACCGGAUAAGCCCUUCGGGGGAAAGAUUUAUCGCCAAUGGAUGGGCCCGCGUCGGAUUAGCUAGUUGGUGGGGUAACGGCCUACCAAGGCGACGAUCCGUAGCUGGUCUGAGAGGAUGAUCAGCCACACUGGGACUGAGACACGGCCCAGACUCCUACGGGAGGCAGCAGUGGGGAAUAUUGGACAAUGGGCGCAAGCCUGAUCCAGCCACGCCGCGUGAGUGACGAAGGUCUUCGGAUUGUAAAGCUCUUUUGGCGGGGACGAUAAUGACGGUACCCGCAGAAUAAGCCCCGGCUAACUUCGUGCCAGCCGCCGCAGUAAAAC
rnacentral:rRNA from 1 species